rnacentral:tRNA from 1 species
UCGAAGGUAGUUUAUUAAAAAUGUUAAAUUGUCAAUUUAAAGAGGCUUUUUGGGUUCUUCGUU